rnacentral:lncRNA from 1 species
UUUCUUCCCUCCACGGAUGAGUUCAUCUUCCUUCCCUCCACGUCUGCAGCCUCUCUCCCAUUCGCGAUCAGCCUCCAUCGACCACUGAUCAUCCCAAUCUUCUCCCGGAUAACCUCCAAUCCCAGCAACCUCCUGCGUCUUUUCCGUGAUUCAUCCUCAUCUCCUCUCAACUGGGAAUGGAGAGAGAGGUAGGCAGCCUAUAAAAGGGGUCAGGUGAGUCAUUCUUCAGAACCAUUCUCUUCCAUUCCUCCUUCCCCACCGGGGGGCAUUCCCUCUUCCCCACCGGGGACUGAUCCCCAUCAAGAUCUUCUCAGAGGCGGAAUCCCACAAGCUCCCACGGGAAGAAGAAAAAAAUAAAAGGAGAGAGAAGAGUUUGGGUAUUUUGGGAAUAUUUCAAAGGAGCUCUUUUCUGAUCCGAAGAAGUCUGUGGCUUGAUCAUCAGGAAGUUCCAAUAGAAGGGAGGAGAGAAUCAGGGAAGGAAGGAAGAGAUGGAAGCCUUCAGCGUCGCCGCUACCACCUCCCAUACUAUGCAGGGCUGAUUUCUUCACUGGGGCCGAAUGCAGCCCUAACAAAGGGACACGGG